rnacentral:rRNA from 1 species
GAUCAGGCUCAGGAUGAACGCUGGCGGCGUGCUUAACACAUGCAAGUCGAACGGAACUCCUAUGAACGAGGUUUCGGCCAAGUGAAUAGGAUGUUUAGUGGCGGACGGGUGAGUAACGCGUGAGUAACCUGCCUUGGAGUGGGGAAUAACACAGUGAAAAUUGUGCUAAUACCGCAUAAUGCAUUUGGAUCGCAUGAUUCUGAAUGCCAAAGAUUUAUCGCU